CCCGUGCCCUGCCGACGGCCCCAGGGGGUGCCCCUGUCCCAGAGGGUGACCGAAGUCCCAGUGGUGUGCCCACGUCCCGGAGAGGUUCUCAGUAGGAGCCCAUGUCCCAGUAAGGGAUCAAGCUGGCACCAACUCGCCUCCCAGCUGGACCUGGAGCACAGUGGCCCAGCGGUGCCAUCUACCAAGGCCUUCCAGGAGCCCAGUGUGGGCACAGAAGGGUCGUGCUUGUGACUAAGGAGGCCAACAGCAGGAAAGCCUUUGCAUUUCUUACUGCUGAAAAUACUUCACAAUUCACGGAAUGGCUGAGGUUGGGAGGCACCGCUGGAGGUCAGUUUGUCCAACCCCCUGCUCCGGCAGGGUUAGGAGCUUUGUCAAAGUGACUGCAUUUUUGGCUAUCCUCUUAACACGGGCUGCCACUUAGCCCCCAAGAGGAUUUUGAGCUGAACCGUGUCCCGGCUGCCCGGCUGCUGAACGCAGCUUGGAUAGAGCCCUGGGCACAGCUCCUUCUCACUGACAAGUUCAGGGCAUAGUCCCAACCACGUGGGACACAGUCCUGCUCCACUGCUGGGCUCAGUGUCCACCAAUGGGCACAGCAGUGGGAGCAGCAGGCUUCAAAAUCCGCCUACACAGGUCCUCCCCAGCUCUGCCUCAGCCUUCCUCACCUGCCAGGUGGGCGGGGAAAGGCUUUGUGACAUCACAGAGCCUUGCGUGACAUCAGCCCGUGACUCGUCACGUCAGCAACCCUUGCAAGCGCAGACACGCAGGGUGGCCACUCGGUUCUGGUGGUCACUGCCUGAACUCUGCUCGGGGUGACAGCCCAAGCCAGAUUGCGCGUCGAGAUUUUUUUCCUCGGCAGAGACCACGAUGAGGCUCAGUCCAGUUCAAUCCCUCACCAUGGCUCUCUGCAUGUUGUUUCUGUUCCCUGGUGGCCUUCACCUUUGCGUCCACGCCGACUGCUUCAUAGUCGGGAUAGAAGUCCUUCCUGAAGACCUGGAGCAGCCACCCGUUGUCGCUGAGAGCGUGGCCUCCGAAUGGACCAGCACCAUUGGCCUUCGCAGCCCCCACGGCUGGGCCAGGGUCAGGAUGGACGUCGCUCCUGAGGGCCUGAAGCAACCGCCCGCUGUCGCCGACAGCAUGGCCUCCGAAUGGACCAGCACCAUUGGCCUUCGCAGCCCCCACGACUGGGCCAGGGUCAGGAUGGACGUCGAUCCUGAGGGCCUGAAGCAACCGCCCGCUGUCGCCGACAGCAUGGCCUCUGAAUGGACCAGCACCAUUGGCCUUCGCAGCCCCCACGGCUGGGUCAGGAUCAAGAUGGCCGUCGCUCCUGAGGGCCUGAAGCAACCGCCCGUCGGCACAGAGAGCAUAGCCUCUGAGCUGCACGGCCCUCUGCGCCGGCUUUGGGACCACCUUGUCCAGCUGGACAGGACCUGGCACCUUUGCAGGGCCUGGCAAACCAUGUGGCUGCUCCACACGGUUUCGAUCGCACUGCGCCUCUGGAGAAAUGUGAAGAGAUCCCAGGGACAGGCAAGUGGACAGACGGCCGCAACUGCCACGGGGCCAGGCCGCCUGGGAAGGCACACCGUCUCCAAAUACGAAUUGCUCUGCCUAAUGGAGGCCAAAAUCACCUUGCUGGUCAGGUGCCUGAGGCAUACCCACCGCCUCCGCCUGAAAGAGCUCCGGCACCAGUACUCCAGGAGGGUGGCACAAGAAAAAGGUAAUUAGAGGAGAGCCUUCUCUAGCUCCCCGUGCAACUCCAGCUAGAGCGUGCGCCCGGCGGAUUGGCAACACGAAAGGCAGUGGUGCAACUGGGUGCUGCCGUCCAUGAAGGGGUGGCAGCCAGCCGAAGGCUCGUGGGGUGAGGACACCUCCACUGACUGCAACCUCUUCUGCUAGCUGGAGGCCAUUAUCGCCCCGACGAUCAUGUUCCUGCACGGUGGCCAUGGCCAAUGGGUGGCCACGUCCUGGCGGGUUGCCCGUGCCCACCUGGCACAACAGCCAACAGGCAUUUGGCAACUCUCUGACGAAGACCCCUGGGGAGGGUCCCCUUUCCCACCCUCCCAAAGGUGCUGCCAGGGUCCACCGGCAUCCAGAAGGCCAGGGCUCAUCCCCGUGUCUCCAAAGGGGACAGCCAGACCAUGCCCGUGCAGCAGAGCCAUCCGGGAAACUCGGCAAAACUCCUGCUGGGAGAAGCCUACUUUCUCCACCUUCCAGCACUCUUCAGACCAAUAAA